rnacentral:tRNA from 1 species
ACCUGAGUGGCUCAGUCGGUUAAGCGUCCGACUUCGGCUCGGGUCACGAUCUCACGGUUCGUGGGUUCGAGCCCCACACCGGGCU